rnacentral:rRNA from 1 species
GGCCUUUUGAAAAUUUAUAUAAAAGGUUGGGCCUGCCCGGUGAUCUGAAAUGGUUUAACGGCUGCGAUUGAAACCGUACUAAGGUAGCAUAAUAAUUUGCCCUUUAAUUGGGGGAGAGAAUGAAUGGUUUGACGGUAAAAAAGCUGUUUUAAAAAUAAUUAAGGAAGUUAACUUUUAAGUGAAAAGGCUUAAGUUUUUAUAAAAGACGAGAAGACCCCGUCGAGCUUAAUUAGGAUAGCUUUAUUUAAAAGAUAUCUAAAAUUUUAUUGGGGCAAUAGAAAAUGAAAAGAAUCAUUUUUUAUAGAAUAAGGAUCCAGUUUUGACUGAAAAAAGCAAAAGCUACCGCGGGGAUAACAGGGUAAUUUUUUCUGAGAGUUCAUAUUUAAGAGAAAGUUUGCUACCUCGAUGUUGGAUUAAAAUUUCUUUAUGCUUGC